rnacentral:rRNA from 1 species
UUCCGGUUGAUCCUGCCGAAGGCUACUGCUAUUGGAGUUCGAUUAAGCCAUGCGAGUCUAAGGGAUCUUCGGAUCCCUGGCGUAAUGCUCAGUAACACGUGGAUAAUCUACCCUCAGGUGGGGCAUAAACCCGGGAAACUGGGGCCAAUUCCCCAUAAAUACAGAUGGCUGGAAUGCUUCUGUAUUCAAAGCUCCGGCGCCUGAGGAUGGGUCUGCGGCCUAUCAGGUUGUAGUCAGGGUCAAGACCUGACUAGCCAGCGACGGGUAUGGGGUGUGAGAGCACUUGCCCAGAGAUGGUUUCUGAGACACGAAACCAGGCCCUACGGGGCGCAGCAGGCGCGAAAACUUCGCAAUGCGGGAAACCGUGACGAGGGAACUCCAAGUGUCUAUGCAUUGCAUAGACUGUUUUUUAGCCUAAAUAGCUAUUAGAGUAAGGGGUGGGCAAGACCGGUGCCAGCCGCCGCGGUAACACCGGCACCUCGAGUGGUAGCCACUAUUAUUGGGCCUAAAGCGUUCGUAGCCGGUUUGGUAAAUUCUUGGGUAAAUCGUACCGCUUAACGGUGCGGAUUCCGGGGACACUACCAGACUUGAGACCGGGGGAGAUCAGAGGUACUUGCGGGGGAGCGGUGAAAUGUUGUAAUCCCGCAGGGACCACCAGUGGCGAAGGCGUCUGAUCAGAACGGCUCUGACGGUGAGGAACGAAACCCUGGGGCGCAAACGGGAUUAGAUACCCCGGUAGUCCAGGGCGUAAACGCUGCUGACUUGGUGUUGGGGAUCCUACGAGGAUGUCCAGUGCUGGCGCGAAGGUAUUAAGUCAGCCGCCUGGGGAGUACGGUCGCAAGACUGAAACUUAAAGGAAUUGGCGGGGGAGCACUGCAACGUGUGGAGCGUGCGGUUUAAUUGGAUUCAACGCCGG